UUAAGUACUUUACCUCACCUGUGUGUGCAGCACAUUUUACAAUCACCACUUGUGAAGACGAGAGAAACGGCUUUCAUUAGGGGACACCAGAAUCAACACAAAAUGAAAGUUACCUGUAGGAGCCAUAAAUAAAAAUACCUGUUUUGUAUUGAUCAGCCAGAGGGACUGCAGUGUGAUGAUACCUUCAUUUCUAUGUGAGUAUUCAAGUUAAACUAGAAUACUAUGCUCUUAACACAACAUCUAGUCAACAUCAGUGCUAUUGCUAUAAUUUGGAUGGUAUAGUAUCAUGAGCCACAAUUAAGGUUCGUGACACUCAUACCAGGCGUUAUUGUUGUUGUUGUUGAGUUCCCGCGCGCCGAUUGCUUUGGGCCGGGCCUAGUCAAAGUCCAGGGCCGUUUUUUAGUCUCAGUCCAUCCCUCACUACAUCACCAGUAUAAUAAUAAUAACAAUCCACCACUGAAAAUAUUCCAAAACAAAUGAACUAUUUACGCCUAUUUGAGUAGCAUUUGAUAAAAAACACUUAUGUUUUAGGAAAUUACUGAACCUUUUUAAAUAAAACUAUA